ACCUCGGGGGUUUCCUGCUUUAUGGCGAAGGACGGAGUUUUGCUCUUGUUGCCCAAGCUGGAGUGCAAUGGUGCGAUCUUCGCUUACUGCAACCUCUGCUUCCUGGGUUCAAGUGAUUCCCCUGCCUCAGCCUCCCGAGUAGCAGGGAUUACAGGAGUGAUGCUUCCCCCUCUGUGAAUGUGGCUUUGGGUAUGGCUAAUCCACACCCUGCACUCUGGCCUUCAGAAGCCCAGGGAGAGAAGCCUCCCAGAAGCAACCUUCCAGAACCUUCUCCAUCCUCCCACCGACCUCCCCAGCCCCUGUCCUCUCUUUGAAUCUCGUUGUCAAGUUCUUCCCGCAGACACCUGGCUCCUUGAGGGGAGGUGCAGCUUUCAUCUGACCAUGCAGGCGUGCUUUGCAGUGGGUAGAGCAGUGCUUUCCUCCUCCCAGCUGCACACUGGAAUCACCUGGAGAGUCCAGAAACUUCCCGCCUCAGUGAAAGAACAUCAGUGUAUCAGCACAGCAAAUAUUCCAAAUGCCAGGCUGGAUUCCCUCCAAUUACCAGGACCUCCAGGCUUCUC
rnacentral:lncRNA from 10 species